rnacentral:SRP_RNA from 1 species
GCCGGGGACCUUAUGGAGUAAGCAAUCUGAACCAGGUCAGGGCCGGAAGGCAGCAUCCUUAAGGAAUCUGCCUUAUGCCAUAGGCCAUCUCCGGCAUU